AACAGGACUCGGUGGAGUGCG
rnacentral:misc_RNA from 1 species